UGUCCCGGCUGACGCUCCAACCCACUGAGCAACAUGGCCAGGGGGGUGACACUCUCCGGUUUCGAAGGACAGCUCACCAAGGCCCCCCAGUAAAAGCUGCAUGAAGGCGGCUCUGGAUUUCUUCCCAGCCCGUCAGGUCACAAGGAGACUCAGCUGUCUGCAGCCUGGAGAAGGGCUCUGACCAGACACAAGUCAGCCAGCACCUUGAUCUCGGACUCCUGGCUCCAGGAACAAAUAUCUUCAGGUGAGGAUUGAAAAAAACGAAAGGAAGAACCGGGGAAGCUACUCUAAAUGGAAGUAGUCGGGGGCGGUUUACUCCUGAGCUGCAAACCGAAUGAUGAGGAGCUGGCCAAGGAGACGUCUGCGGGAAGAGCAUUCUGAGUGAAGGAGCAGCAAGCGCAAAAGCCCUGAGGCUGGAACAGGCUUGGAUGCCAGAACCCGGAGAGCAGUGUACCGGGAGUGUGAUAAGAAAAGUUAAACACAGGAAGAAAACAGCGGAGCUGGGAUUUGA